rnacentral:rRNA from 1 species
GAUGAACGCUAGCGGCAGGCCUAAUACAUGCAAGUCGAGGGGCAGCAGGGAUAGCAAUAUUCGCUGGCGACCGGCGCACGGGUGCGUAACACGUAUACAAUCUGCCUUUAACAGGGGGAUAGCCCGGAGAAAUCCGGAUUAAUACCCCAUAAUAGAUUGACUGGCAUCAGUUGAUUUUGAAAGCUCCGGCGGUUAGAGAUGAGUAUGCGUCUGAUUAGCUAGUUGGUGAGGUAACGGCUCACCAAGGCGACGAUCAGUAGGGGAUCUGAGAGGAUUAACCCCCACACGGAUACUGAGACACGGAUCCGACUCCUACGGGAGGCAGCAGUAAGGAAUAUUGGACAAUGCCCGCAAGGGUGAUCCAGCCAUGCCGCGUGCAGGAAGACGGCCCUAUGGGUUGUAAACUGCUUUUACACCGGAGAAAACCCCCCCUACGUCGUAGGGGGCUGAUAGUAUGGUGAGAAUAAGCAUCGGCUAACUUCGUGCCAGCAGCCGCGGUAA